rnacentral:rRNA from 1 species
UGGGGAAUCUUGCGCAAUGGCCGAAAGGCUGACGCAGCGACGCCGCGUGUGGGAUGACGCUUUUCGGAGUGUAAACCACUGUUGCCCGGGACGAACAGCCUUUUUCGAGAGGCCUGACGGUACCGGGUGAGGAAGCACCGGCUAACUCCGUGCCAGCAGCCGCGGUAAUACGGAGGGUGCGAGCGUUGUCCGGAAUCACUGGGCGUAAAGGGCGCGUAGGCGGCCCGCGCAAGCGUGCGGUGAAAGCCCGGGGCUCAACCCCGGGUCGGCCGUGCGGACUGCGGGGCUCGAGCACUGUAGGGGCAGAUGGAAUUCCGGGUGUAGCGGUGGAAUGCGUAGAGAUCCGGAAGAACACCGGUGGCGAAGGCGGUCUGCUGGGCAGUAGCUGACGCUGAGGCGCGACAGCGUGGGGAGCAAACAG